GCAGCCAUAUAUAAUAUAUCCAGAGCGAAUCACUUUGAAUUUACGCAACUUUCAAAUAGUCCGCCAUCAAGCAAGCUUAGAUGUUUUAUUAUUAUAGAAACUCUUCUGUAAUGACACCGAAGUGAUUUUGCAAAAAUUUGAACUUGCAGCGAAUUUCGGAUUAAAAUUUAUUGAUAGCUCCGACUUGAGUUUCGACUAUAAUUUGAAAACUUAAAAAAUUCCGGGUGCAAAAUCUGAACGUACGAGAUAAUGACCGACCAACAAAUAAUAGCUGCAGGCGUUGGGGUUAUUAUUGUAUUUUUAUUGGUGAACAGAAUAUAAUGAAAUAACCGAACAAUU